rnacentral:tRNA from 1 species
GGCUGUGUGGAGGAACUGGUAGACUCGCCAUCUUGAGGGGGUGGUGUCAUCAAGACGUGUCAGUUCGAAUCUGAUCACAGUCA